ACUCUCGAGAGGGGCUUGAGGAAGACAGGCAGCUGAGCUGCAGCCGCCGCCACCACCCCCAAAGGCAGGCAGGACCCCACCCCCAACCCUUUCCUCACAGGUCGCCCUUCAUCUCAUCGCCUCACAAAAAUCACCGCCUCUGGGAGCAGGCUGGCCCUGAGAGGAGGGUGCCGCUCCCUGCAGCUGCCUCCUUUUCCUGGGUGACUCACCGCCCUCCCAGCCCCUCACUCACUUCCCCUACCCGGAGUCCGUCCGUCAGCUUCCUCUCCUCUACCCGCCUCUCCCUUCCCUCCCGCCCUUAAUUUCUGGCUUCCUCUUGGCUGGCUCCCUUUUAUUCCUCUUCGCCCGUUAUCUCAGUGGCAGCCCCUCCCCAAAGCUUUCCUCUUUUUUUCCCUUCCUUUUUCGUUCUUGGCCCCUCACAGCCCCACUCUUUCCCUUCCAACAAGCUAAAGGACGGCUUCUUCCCCCUCCGGCGGGUGCACACACCCCACUGCCUGCUCCUCUCAACUAACGGCUACGCGCGGGGCUUCAAUCGAGCCGCAUCACACGCGCACGCGCGCGUGCGCGCGGUCCUGUUCUCUUCCCCCCCCCUCCUCUUUCGGAAAGGAGAAGAAACUGUGAAGAGAUCCUUACGCAGCUUCUUAUUAGGUCUCUACUCCUGUCAUUUCUGUGGUCCAGUUUGUUCCUGGAUUCCUUCCCAUGCGGUGUAAGUGUUUUUCCAUCUAGUCACUCUGUGGUUUUUUUAAUAGUUUGCUUUUGUUGCAAAGCUGCCGUAUUUUCUUUAAAAGAAGUGCAGGACAGAUUGAAGAAGAAGUUGUGUCAACUUUCUAAAAUCUUUCUUUAAAAAAAAAAAGUAAUAAUGACCCAAGGAAAUUGUAUGGGAUGGUAAUUACGAUGAGGAACACAAAGACUAGCUGUGGAGUUAUUUAAUUUUCUCCUACUGUUGUGGAUUUUAUUUUUAGAUUCCUCCAUUGUAAAUCUGUUCUAGGCCAUUUCACACACCACUGGUUUUUCUGCCCAACACUAUAAAACUUACAAUGGCUUCUCUAAAAGAGGGCAAACGAGUUCAUUUCUUCAUCUGAGCUUGAUUAGACUGGUUGUCACCAUGAAGUUCAACUCUGAACAGGAGCUGGCAUUGGCUAAAGAGUGUCAAAAUGAAAAGGGGCUUACUUGUUUCUACCUGUUUUA
rnacentral:lncRNA from 1 species